CCUACGGGGGGCAGCAGUGGGGAAUAUUGCACAAUGGGCGCAAGCCUGAUGCAGCCAUGCCGCGUGUGUGAAGAAGGCCUUCGGGUUGUAAAGCACUUUCAGCGGGGAGGAAGGCGGUGAGAUUAAUAACCUCAUCGAUUGACGUUACCCGCAGAAGAAGCACCGGCUAACUCCGUGCCAGCAGCCGCGGUAAUACGGAGGGUGCAAGCGUUAAUCGGAAUUACUGGGCGUAAAGCGCACGCAGGCGGUCUGUCAAGUCGGAUGUGAAAUCCCCGGGCUCAACCUGGGAACUGCAUUCGAAAGUGGCAGGCUAGAGUCUUGUAGAGGGGGGUAGAACUACAGGUGUAGCGGUGAGAUGCGUAGAGAUCUGGAGGAAUACAGGUGGCGAAGGCGGCCCCCUGGACAAAGACUGACGCUCAGGUGCGAAAGCGUGGGGAGCAAACAGGAUUAGAUACCCUUAGUC
rnacentral:rRNA from 1 species